rnacentral:rRNA from 1 species
CUAUGUACCUAUAUCACACUGAAUGCACCUAGCUGAAUGCUCUUAGAAGCUAAGCAAGACCAGACCUGGUUAAGUACUGUGAUAAGAAUUUUAGGAGCUAAUUAAG